rnacentral:rRNA from 1 species
GUCGUGCGCGGAGCUCUCCUUCGGUACACUGGCGAGUGGAGGCGGGGCAAGGGGCGGAGAGCUGCCCUCGAGGGGAGAUAACGCCGGAAACGGGAAUUAAUAGCACAUAUUGUCCCGGGACCGCAUGGGUCCGGGAUGAAUGCCCUCUGGGCGCUCGAGGAUGGGCCUGCGUCGGAUUAGCUAGGUGGUGGGGUAACGGCCCACCUAGGCGACGAUCCGGAACUGGUCUGAGAGGACGACCAGCCACACUGGCCCUGAUACUCGGGCCAGACUCCUACGGGAGGCAGGAGUGGGGAAUCUUGGGCAGUGGGCGAAAGCCUGACCCAGCCACGCCGCGUGGAGGAUGAAGCCCUUCGGUUUGUAAACUCCUUUUCUGGGGCAAGAAAUCCCGGCUAUGGUCGGGACUGACGGUA